AUUGAACGCUGGCGGCAGGCUUAACACAUGCAAGUCGAGCGGGGUGAUGGUGCUUACACUAUCACUUAGCGGCGGACGGGUGAGUAAUGCUUAGGAAUCUGCCUAUUAGUGGGGGACAACAUCUCGAAAGGGAUGCUAAUACCGCAUACGUCCUACGGGAGAAAGCAGGGGAUCACGUGUUACCUUGCGCUAAUAGAUGAGCCUAAGUCGGAUUAGCUAGUUGGUGGGGUAAAGGCCUACCAAGGCGACGAUCUGUAGCGGGUCUGAGAGGAUGAUCCGCCACACUGGGACUGAGACACGGCCCAGACUCCUACGGGAGGCAGCAGUGGGGAAUAUUGGACAAUGGGGGGAACCCUGAUCCAGCCAUGCCGCGUGUGUGAAGAAGGCCUUAUGGUUGUAAAGCACUUUAAGCGAGGAGGAGGCUCUUUUGGUUAAUACCCAAGAUGAGUGGACGUUACUCGCAGAAUAAGCACCGGCUAACUCUGUGCCAGCCGCCGCAGUAACAC
rnacentral:rRNA from 1 species